CCUCACCAGGUCAGGGGAAUACAGGCAGAAGGAUGACACGCACUGAGAUAACGCUCAUCAAAACGCCUGAAAGACUCGGGUCCUCCUCUGAAAGACUUGCAAAGGUUUUGCCCGAGCCUUGGCGACGGAAGCUUGCGGUGCGGAUGGGCACUGGAAAUGCAGCGGAGGCGCAUGCAAUUUUAUUUUCCAGUGUCCUUAAUUUCCCAGUUUCUCUUGCAUCUCCUAAACGAAAGCCUUCCCCCCUUGGGGAGGUGAUCCCUGGGUUCCAGGGCCGGGGUCAGCGUUGUGACUCUGCUGGCCAGAGGCACGCAGGCUGCUAUUCCCGGAAGGAGUGCAAAGACCCUGGGAACAGGACCAGCCCGGCUCGCAAGAAUGCAGAGAAUGUCGGGAGAGGAAGUGGCGGUUCUGAGUCAGCAUGAGUCAUCUCGUUCCAAUGAGGUGUGCGCCUUUUUUUUUUUUUUUUUUUUUUUUUUGAGUCUUGCUUGUGUGGACAUCAUUGGGAAUGGAGGGAACCAAGUGACUGGAUGGCUGAUGCUUGUUGAAGUGUCCAAGGGACAUGGCAAUUAUAGAGUGUUCUGGCUGAUGCGUGUCUGCGAAUCUUCACAGCACGGUUCCUGGGAAGGCGGAGCUGCCAGCUUCUCUCCCUGGUAUACCUGGAGGACAGAGGUUCCCCUCUCAUGCUCUAACACUGCCUGAGCAGUGGGGCCAGCCUUGCACAAGUCCUUCAGGUGAACUGCAAUGUCAUCUCUCCCAAGAAUAACUGGGAGAUGAAACAGGAAGCCCUAUGACACACUUGAUCGAAAAUGACAGACACAGGAGAAUCAGGACUCGGCCCCCCUCCAGCACCUCCACCUGCUGCCUACCGAGGGACAGCCAGAAUGUAUACAGAUCGAAGGCCGACAGAGUGUCCUGGUGUGCAAGAACUGUCCACCCAACCCAUUGUCCAAGAUUAUCUGGUGAUGACAUAGAACAACCGCAGCAGGACAGGGAAGUCCAGGCUUCCACUCAUGCCCUAUGGCUCACUAAAGGUGGAACUGUGUGGCUUCCAGACGUUGUGGAAUCUGGGAUCACAGCUGGCAGUGCUGGCAUCCUGUGUGAGUGCCACGUCCCAGCUGCUCCACUUCCUGUCCACUUCCUGCCAAUGCGCCUGGGGAAGGCAGCGGAAGACAGUCUCAGGACUUGGGCCACAUCACCCACAUGGGAGACCAGGAAGGAGUCCCUGGCUUCUUUGGCUUCAGCUUGGCUUAGCCCUGGUUUGGAACUCAGCAGAUUGAAAUCUCUCUCUCU